UAUAUAUUUUCAUCUUUUUUUCCUGCCAACCUUUAUCUUUAAAGUUUUAUCAUUUUAAAUAGCAUAUAGUGGGUAUAUGUUUUAAGCUUUAACAGAUAGAUUAUUUAUUCCAAUUUGCACUUACCAUAAUGUUUAUGUUAAUUAUGUUAGAGCAUAAUUGAUCAUGUUAAUUAUGUUGACAUAAUUUUAAUGUUUAAAUGGUGGAUUUAGGUCUACCAUUUUAAUCAUUUAUUUUUAAGUUUGAACUACUCUCCCUUGUCUCUCUUCUGUUUUUUGUUCUUCUAUUCCUUCUUCCCUGCAUCCUUUGAUUGCAUUUUUUCAGAUAAUUCCAUCUCCUCUUAUCUUUUUAACUCGAUCUCUUUGCAUAUUUUAGUGGACAUUCUAGUAAUUAAAGUAUACAUAAUUGGUUAUUUUCAGUAUUUUAAGACUAAGUAUUAUAUCACUUCACAUAAACCAUAAAAAUCUUACAACCAUAUAUGUUCACUUCUCUAGUUCCUGUCCCCCACCUUUUUAAAAUUUUUAUUUUAUUUUUUCAGUGUUUCGAGGUCCACGGUUUAUGCACCUUACCAAGGGCUCCAUGCAAUACAUCCCCUCCUUAAUAGUCACUAACCCGCUCCCCAUCCCCCCAUCACACUCCCCUCCAAAACCCUCAAUUUGUAUCUCAUGAGAAUCCACAGUCUCUCAUGCUUUGUUUCCCCCUCCACUUUCUUCCCUUCACUUUUCCUUUAAUUCUCCUAAUGUCCUUCAUGUUAUUCCUUAUGAUCCAAACAUAAGUGAAAUCAUAUGAUAAAUGAUUUCUUUUGCUUGAAUUAUUUCACUUAGCAUAAUCUCCUCCAUUCCCGUCCAUGUUCAUAAUAAUAGUUGGGUAUUCAUCCUUUCUCAUGGCUGCGUAAUAUUCAGUUCUAUAUAUGGACUCUAUCUUCUAUAUCCAUUUAUUUGUUGAAGGGCAUCUUGGCUCCUUUGACAGUUUGGUGAUUGUGGUCAUUGCUGAUUUGAACAUUGGGGUACAUAUGGCCCUUUUUUGCAUUACAUCUGUAUCUUUGGGGUAAAUGCCCAGUAGUACAAAGGCAGGGUCAUAGGAUAGCUUUAUUUUUAACUUUUUUCAGGAAUCUCCACACUGUUUUCCAAAGUGGUUGCACCAACUUGCAUUCCCACCAACAGUAUAAGAGGAUUCCCCUUUCUCCACAUCCUCUCCCACACUUGUUGCUUCUUGUCUUGUUAAUUUUGGUCAUUCUAUCUGGUGUAAAGUGGUAUCUCAGUGUGCUUUUUUAAAAAUUAUUUCUUAAAAAAGAUUUUAUCUAUCUAUUUAUUUAUUUAUUUAUUUAUUUGAGAGAGAGAGAGAGAGAGACAGAGAGACAGAGAGAUAUAUCACCAGUAGGCAGAGAGGCAGGCAGGGGGUGGGGGAAGCAGGCUCCUGCUGAGCAGAGAGCCUGAUGUGGGGCUCGAUCCCAGAAUCCUGAGAUCAUGACCUGAGCCGAAGGCAGAGGCUCAAUGCACUAAGCCAUUCAGGCCUCCCUCAGUGUGGUUUUGAUUUGAAUCUCCCUGAUGGCUAGUGAUGAGGAACAUUUCUUCAUGUUUCUUUUAGCCAUGUGUAUGCCUUUUUUGGAGAAGUGUCUGCCUAUUUUUUGACAUGAUUGUCUGUCUGUGUGUGUUGACUUCGAGGAGUUCUUUAUAGUUCUUGGAUACCAGCCCUUUGUCUGUAGUGUCAUUUGUGAAUAUCCUCUCCCAUUCCGUGGGUUGCCUCUUCGUUUUCUUGACUGUUUUCUUUGCUGUGCAGAAGCUUUUUAUCUUGAUGAAGUCCAAAAAUUCAUUUUUGCCCUUGUUUCCUUUGCCUUUGGAGAUGUUUCUUGAAAGAAGUUGCUGAGGUUGAUGUCAAAGAAUCUGUUACUGUCUUUGUUCUCCUCAAGGAUUUUGAUUGAUUCCUGCCUCACAUUGAGGUUUUUCAUCCAUUUUGAGUUUUUCUUUGUGUAUGGUAUAAAAGAAUAUUCAACUUUCAUUCCUCUAUACAUAGCUGUCCAGUUUUGCCAGCACCAUUUAUUGAAGAGAUUUUUUUCUACUGGAUAUUUUUUCCUGCUUUGUUGAAGAUAUAUUUGACCAUAGAGUUGAGGGUCCACAUCUGUGCUCUCUAUUCUGUUCGAUUGGUCUAUUUGUCUGUUUUUUUUGCCAGUACCAUGCCAUUUUUGUGAUCACAUCUUUGUAAUAAAGUUUUAAAUCAGACAGCAUGAUACCCAAGCUUUGCUUUUCUUUUUCAACAUUUCCUUAGCUAUCCACAGUCUUUUCUUGUCCCAUAUACAUUUUAGGAUUGUUUGUUCUAGCACUUGGAAAUGUCUAUAUUGCCCAGAGCAAUCUAUACUUUCAGUGCCAUCCUGAUCAAAGUUCCUGUCCCCUUUUAUGCUAGAGUUGUCAUGUAUCUACAUUUGCCAGAAACCCUAUAGCCCUACACCAAUGAUAUAAUUGUUCUAAAUAGGUAUAUUUUCCUAACAGAAGAAUAAAAUCCUAUUUAUUUAAAUAUUAACCAGUUUCAGUGCUCUUCUAUCCUGAAGAUCCAUGUUUCCUUCUGCUUUUAUUAUCUAUCUUCCUAAGGAAUUUUUAGCACCAGAAUUACUGGUGGUAAUUCUCAGUUUUCUUUUAUAUGGCAGUUUUCCUUUAUCUGACAGUAGCUUUAUUUAUCAUUUUUUUUUGAAAUUUACCUGUCUUAAUUGAGGUAUGUUGUUACUAAAUAUAGAAUUCUGUUUUUACUUCUUUAUCCCUAGUACUUUAAAGAUAUUUAAAACAAUAUUGCACAUAUUUUAAAUUAAAAGAAAAGUUUCCUUCUUUGGAUAGUUGUAGAAAAUAGUAGAAACAAAAAUUUAAUCUAGCAGAACAGGAUUUGAUAUUUUAAUAAAGGGUAGUUCUGAAGAGUUCCUAGUUGUCUUAUGUCUUCCUGUUUCUCUUUCAUGGUUUUGAUAAAAUGAGCUCCUUUGACAGGGAAUUGGUUUUUUAAAAAAUAUAUAUUCAUAUCUUAUAGGAAAUUCAUAAAAAUAAUCAUUCCAUAUUUUUAAAUGGUUGGCUUAGCUUUCAUGGUAUUAUAGUGAAAAAAUAAGAGAGUAUAAGGAUGACUUAAAUGGUUGCGAGUGUUAAGAAAAAGGGUAAAAAGAUUGGGGUGAAUUGAUGAUAGAAGUCUGAUUUCAUUUAAUUAAUUGGUUACUCUGUCAUUAUGGUCAAAGCAUAGAAAUAUGGAAUGUUUUGUGAAUUGUCCUGUAUUGUAAACAUAUUAUGUGAAUUCCCUUAACACAGAAUUGAUCUAGCUCUUGAAAUAUUAUUUUUAUUGAAGAUAAGUGGGACAUAGGCAUUUUAUAACUUCGGAAUUUGGGAAAGAUAACAUUUGAUAUGAAUGGAAUUUUUUUUCACUUUGGCUUGUCUCCCAUGUGUCAACCCCCAUGACAAUCAGUGCAGAAAAGGAAAGUUGUUGUAGUUUUUUUCCCAUGCACAUCCUCACAAAACAAACUACUGUUCAUCUAUGAUCUUAUGAGAAAUUUAGGACUAACAUUCCAGUGAACGUGUAUGAUAAAUACAGUUUUGUAGAAACAGAUGCUCAGUUUUUUAAAAAAUUAAAUUUAUUUAUUUAUUUUCAGAAAAACAGUAUUCAUUAAUUUUUCACCAUACCCAGUGCUCCAUGCAGUCUUGAGAAACACUCUGAUUGAUGUCGUUAGGUUUUAUGUUAAUGAUUUUCAAAUUCAGCCCUAUUUUGCUUUCCAUCUAUCUACCUGACAAUAUAUUUUCCAUAAUCUGUUUAUCUCGGCCUACUAAUAAUUUGUCUGUCAUCCAUUUUACUGUUAGUCUAUCAUAUAUUUGUCGGCCUAUCUGUAUAUCCAUCCUGCCAUUAGAUAUAGGAGGCAGAAGAAGGUAGAAAUGGAGAACCAAGGGAGUUAUUUCCCAUGUGUGAGGACAAUGGUAACAGUGUCUCUGUGGUGAUCAUGUAUAGAAAGAGAAAGCAAAAACAAAGCAUGAAUGGGAAAAAUUAGUUCAAGGACCUGCCUAGUAGGAACCCUGGCCUUAUUAUUAUAUUUAAACUCUGUCAAUCAAAAUACAGCUGCUUCCAUUGUAUGUCAGACUGACAUGAGAAAAUUUAAAUAUGAGGACUUUACUUUUCCAGUCUUCCUUUACUUCCAUAUUUUAAUAUUCAAGUUCUAAUUACUUGGAAUUAUCACCUCAGUCCAUAUUAUAACAGACCAUGGAUUAGCAAGUCUUUUCUGUAAAAGGCCAAAUAACCUUUCUAAUUUUUCAGGCUGUUGCAGUUGCCAUUGCACUCUGCUGUUCUGGUAUGAAAGCAGCCAAACACAAUGUAUAAUUGAACAGAGAUCUCAGGUAGGCAGAGAAGGAGGCAGAGAGAGAGCGGGAAGCAGGCAUCCUACUGAGCAGAGAGCCCGAUGUGGGGCUCUAUCCCAGGACCCUUGGAUCAUGACCUGAGCUGAAGGCAGAGGCUUAACCCACUGAGCCACCCAGGCUCCCCAGUAUCCAAUAUUCUUAUGCAAUGGCUCAAUUAAACUGUGACUUCCAAGUUUACUCCUGUUUUCUUGUGUUAUCUGCAUGGAGGGAUUAGAGGAGAGAAAAAUAGAAUCUCUAAAACAUGGUAACUAAAGAUUGGGCUAUUUCUUUGCAGUCAAAUAAAAAUAUAUGUGUGUAUUUAUUUAAAAUUUAUAUGACAAAUUCAGUGUUAAUAUUCUCUGAAAGCCUCGCUCACAUCAGUUUAGAAAAAGACAAGCAUCCCAGUACAAGAAGGGGAAGCAUAUAAAUGAACAAUUGAUAAGAGAAGAGCAUUGUGAAUGGCCAAAAGCAUGGAAUAAUAUCCUCAGAUCUGCCACUCUUUAUAAUUAAAUAAUUAAAUAUAUAUGAAAUUAUUAUAAACUAUUAUAAAUAUAAUGAAAUUUAAAUGUGUGUGAGCAUAUGUAGAUUCACAUGUAAUGCCAUGAAUCAACAAUUGUCUUUUUUCACCUAUCAGAUUAAUAGGUAACUUUGUUAACCAAGAAUGGAGAAUUUGGAAAUCCUAGUAUGUUAAAGCCUUUCCAGAAGACAGUGUAAAAUAUAUUAGAUGGGAAUUAACACAUUUUGACUAACAAUUUUAUUUUUAGGAAUUUCCCUAAGUUUGUAAUGGGAAGUGUCCCAAGAUGUAUGUGAACUCAAGGGUAAUCAUUACAGCCUUAGUUGUACUUGUAAAAUUGUAAGUUACCUGUUUACCUAAAAUCAUAAUUCUAAGUAAAUUCAUGUUGAUACAUUUAUCCAGUUGGAGUAUAUUAUGUUAUAUAUGACAAUGUAUGUUUGAAUUAAUUGAUAUGCAAAUCCAAGCCUUUCAUAAGUUUAUCUACCACUUACUGAGUAUCAAGUAUGUUUGAGGCAAUAACAUUGUAUUUCAUUCAUGUAAAAUGAUAUCAAUAUGUGCUUGUGCAGAUAUGAUCAAUAAACCAAUUUUAUAGAAAGAAUAUUAAAAAUGUUGAUAAUGA